rnacentral:rRNA from 1 species
UACAGAGGUCUCAAGCGUUGUUCGGAUUCAUUGGGCGUAAAGGGCGCGUAGGCGGCGGGGUAAGUCGGGUGUGAAAAUCUCAGGGCUCAACCCUGAAACUGCAACUCGAUAGCUGCUCUGCUUGAGGACUGGAGAGGAGACUGGAAUUCACGGUGUAGCAGUGAAAUGCGUAGAGAUCGUGAGGAAGACCAGUGGCGAAGGCGGGUCUCUGGACAGUUCCUGACGCUGAGGCGCGAAGGCCAGGGGGAGCCAAAACGGGG